GAGUGAAGCAAGCACAAAAGGAAAGGAAAAAUCUCUCCCUGGAGGAGAAUGCAGACAGACAGACAGAUGCUAUUUGUAUCUUUGGGUCCGAAGCACAGCAGCUAACACACAUGUUUUUUUCCCUUUAGACCAUAUCAACCUGUUCAUUUCUAAAUGCCAGAACAGAGACGAGACAGAGAGAAAAAAAACUAAGUCAGACUGAAAUUGGGCCUUCUACCACUAGACUGAAAAGACCUAGAAUUCAUCGACAG